AUUGAACGCUGGCGGCAGGCCUAACACAUGCAAGUCGAGCGGAUGACGGGAGCUUGCUCCUUGAUUCAGCGGCGGACGGGUGAGUAAUGCCUAGGAAUCUGCCUGGUAGUGGGGGACAACGUUUCGAAAGGAACGCUAAUACCGCAUACGUCCUACGGGAGAAAGCAGGGGACCUUCGGGCCUGGCGCGAUCAGAUGAGCCUAGGGCGGAUUAGCUAGUUUGUGGGGGAAUGGCUCACCAAGGCGACGAUCCGUAACUGGUCUGAGAGGAUGAUCAGUCACACUGGAACUGAGACACGGUCCAGACUCCUACGGGAGGCAGCAGUGGGGAAUAUUGGACAAUGGGCGAAAGCCUGAUCCAGCCAUGCCGCGUGUGUGAAGAAGGUCUUCGGAUUGUAAAGCACUUUAAGUUGGGAGGAAGGGCAGUAAGUUAAUACCUUGCUGUUUUGACGUUACCGACAGAAUAAGCACCGGCUAACUCUGUGCCAGCAGCCGCCGUAA
rnacentral:rRNA from 1 species